ensembl:ncRNA W03C9.10 ncRNA
ACAGUACUCUGAGCGCGCGAUAUUCGCAUUAUGAUCACUUGGAUGAAUUCCAAGAAAAAAGUAACGGUGAAAAGAGAAAAAAAAGCGAACGAGGAUGCGAACAGAGGUUUGUGGGGAGGACGUUUAUUCAACGCGACA